UACGUAGGGGGCAAGCGUUGUCCGGAAUCAUUGGGCGUAAAGAGCGUGUAGGCGGCCAUACAGGUCAGCUGUGAAAACUCGAGGCUCAACCUCGAGACGUCGGUUGAAACCGUAUGGCUAGAGUCCGGAAGAGGAGAGUGGAAUUCCCGGUGUAGCGGUGAAAUGCGCAGAUACCGGGAGGAACACCGGUGGCGAAGGCGGUUCUCUGGGCAUGUCCUGACGCUGAGGAGCGAAAGUGUGGGGAGCGAACAGG
rnacentral:rRNA from 1 species